ensembl:lncRNA
AGGAUGUCUAUGGAAGAAAUAUAGUAUCAUCAGAAUCCAACUAUUUUUAGACAUUGAAUUUAUAACACUGAAUUUUUAUCCUCCAAAUUUCCCUGCAAAAACCGUUUCCUUGUAAAACUCCACAGCAGAAACGUAUCUUAAGAGGCAUUUUGCUGGAUUCAAGCAGAGCGGCACACUUGCCAGACCAACAGAAGCGUGUGAGGCGUAUCGAUUCAUGGCGCCAUCUAUAAACGGCAUUUCCCCAACACCUUUUGCAUUCAUGCAGCCCAGGAUCAUCACACUGCCACCUCUGUGCUUUGUUGUCUGGAUUAUGCAUUCACUGUGGUAGUGCUGGCCAGGUUAAAUCCAAUCAUGCUCGACCCUGUAUGAGUGGAACCAAUUAAUCUUGGUGUCAUCUGCCUAAGGAAUGCACUCCCAGUAUAGAACAGGCUUCUUUUCACUUUCACAUUCUUUAGUAAAAGUUUUAUCUGGAAGUUUGUUUUUUUAACGGACAAAAGGUCAGUGUUAUGCAUUGUCCUUCCCACUGUCUGAGCUACGUCAAGUCUUGCCCGUCUGUUUUUCAGAGCUAGACGGUGCAAGUAACACAUUUCCAUGGCAUCAUUACAGGAUCUGUGAUUAAUGCUACGCUUCAUUUUCUGCUUCCUCAUUACUGCUGAAAAUGUGGUAGAGCUGAAUUUUAGUUGGUCGCAGAUCUCCCUGUAUCCUUCUGUAGCACUGGGGUUUAUUUAAAUUCUCAUAUUUGUUUUCUUUCAGUUGUAUUUCAGGGAUUAGGACAUUUCUUCCAUUUAUUUGUUUUUUAUAGUUCAUAAUUAACUACUGUUAUUGGCAGCUUAAACAGAAUGCAUUUAUUGAGACAGUUUUGAAUUGUUUAGCAUUGAAGGCAUGUAUUUUAUUUCUAUUUAUAAUAUAUGCACAUUUUUAAUUUAAUACCAGCAACACAUUUAAAUGUAAAAAACUGGCAUGUCCACCAGUGCUGCAUCACCCUUUCUGCUCUUUUAACUGCUUAAAGUUUGAUUCUUUUUGGCCAAUUCAAUGGGUCACGGGCCAUCAGCCUCCAUCCUUGAAAAACACAUAACGUAGAUGGCGGCAUAUGUUGCUGUAAAAGCUCUGUACAUCGUUAGCAAUAAUGGUGCCUUCACAGAUGUGCAAGUUAAAUGUGCCAUGUUCACUAAAGCCUCUCCACACCCAAGGCUGUUGACAAGCCAGAUGGUCCCUCUCCUUUAGUCUCAUCGAUGUUUUGUCCAUGAUUUUUAAAAACAAAAAAGUUUGACUGGAUAAACCACAUGAAAGACUUCCUCUUUGUGUCUGUCGAUCUUAAAUGAGCUCUAUAUUAUGUUUAUAUUAUGUUUUCUGUCAUCAGAUGAUGAUGAAACUUUUAACUUGCAUUUGUUGUAGGGACAAAGUGCAAUCAAUGAGAAGGUAAAUACAGUUUUUCAAAAGUGUUCUUGUACCCAUUCAGCGAUUUCCACUACAGAAUUAUAUCUGUUUUCUGAUGCAGGGCCUUCUGAGUACCCAGAGAUCACAGCUGUUUAAUACUGGUUUUAGGCCUUGUCCUUAUGCAUAGAGUUCU